CUUCCACUGAGAAGAUAGUGGCGAACGGGUGAGUAACACGUGGGUAACCUGCCCAUAAGAGGGGGAUAACAUCCGGAAACGGGUGCUAAUACCGCAUAGUUUUCUUGAUCGCAUGAUCGGGAAAGGAAAGACGGCCUUUGUGCUGUCGCUUAUGGAUGGACCCGCGGCGUAUUAGUUAGUUGGUGAGGUAACGGCUCACCAAGACGAUGAUACGUAGCCGACCUGAGAGGGUGAUCGGCCACAUUGGGACUGAGACACGGCCCAAACUCCUACGGGAGGCAGCAGUAGGGAAUCUUCCGCAAUGGACGAAAGUCUGACGGAGCAACGCCGCGUGAGUGAAAGAAGGUUUUCGGAUCGUAAAACUCUGUUGUCAGAGAAGAACAAGUUGGAGAGUAACUGCUCCAGCCUUGACGGUAUCUGACCAGAAAGCCACGGCUAACUACGUGCCAGCCGCCGC
rnacentral:rRNA from 1 species